rnacentral:rRNA from 1 species
UGACCGCUGGCGGUAGGCCUAACACAUGCAAAUCGAACGGCAGCACAGUAAGAGCUUGCUCUUACGGGUGGCGAGUGGCGGACGGGUGAGGAAUACAUCGGAAUCUACUUUUUCGUGGGGGAUAACGUAGGGAAACUUACGCUAAUACCGCAUACGACCUACGGGUGAAAGCAGGGGAUCUUCGGACCUUGCGCGAUUGAAUGAGCCGAUGUCGGAUUAGCUAGUUGGCGGGGUAAAGGCCCACCAAGGCGACGAUCCGUAGCUGGUCUGAGAGGAUGAUCAGCCACACUGGAACUGAGACACGGUCCAGACUCCUACGGGAGGCAGCAGUGGGGAAUAUUGGACAAUGGGCGCAAGCCUAAUCCAGCCAUACCGCGUGGGUGAAGAAGGCCUUCGGGUUGUAAAGCCCUUUUGUUGGGAAAGAAAAGCAGCAGGUUAAUACCCCGCUGUUCUGACGGUACCCAAAGAAUAAGCACCGGCUAACUUCGUG